GAGCGGAUGACGGGAGCUUGCUCCUUGAUUCAGCGGCGGACGGGUGAGUAAUGCCUAGGAAUCUGCCUGGUAGUGGGGGACAACGUUUCGAAAGGAACGCUAAUACCGCAUACGUCCUACGGGAGAAAGCAGGGGACCUUCGGGCCUUGCGCUAUCAGAUGAGCCUAGGUCGGAUUAGCUAGUUGGUGGGGUAAUGGCUCACCAAGGCGACGAUCCGUAACUGGUCUGAGAGGAUGAUCAGUCACACUGGAACUGAGACACGGUCCAGACUCCUACGGGAGGCAGCAGUGGGGAAUAUUGGACAAUGGGCGAAAGCCUGAUCCAGCCAUGCCGCGUGUGUGAAGAAGGUCUUCGGAUUGUAAAGCACUUUAAGUUGGGAGGAAGGGCAGUAAGUUAAUACCUUGCUGUUUUGACGUUACCGACAGAAUAAGCACCGGCUAACUCUGUGCCAGCAGCCGCGGUAAUACAGAGGGUGCAAGCGUUAAUCGGAAUUACUGGGCGUAAAGCGCGCGUAGGUGGUUUGUUAAGUUGGAUGUGAAAGCCCCGGGCUCAACCUGG
rnacentral:rRNA from 1 species